rnacentral:rRNA from 1 species
CUAUCGACAGGCUUAACACAUGCAAGUCGAGGGGCAGCACAGGUAGCAAUACCGGGUGGCGACCGGCGCACGGGUGAGUAACGCGUAUGCAACUUGCCUAUCAGAGGGGGAUAACCCGGCGAAAGUCGGACUAAUACCGCAUGAAGCAGGGGUCCCGCAUGGGAAUAUUUGCUAAAGAUUCAUCGCUGAUAGAUAGGCAUGCGUUCCAUUAGGCAGUUGGCGGGGUAACGGCCCACCAAACCGACGAUGGAUAGGGGUUCUGAGAGGAAGGUCCCCCACAUUGGUACUGAGACACGGACCAAACUCCUACGGGAGGCAGCAGUGAGGAAUAUUGGUCAAUGGCCGAGAGGCUGAACCAGCCAAGUCGCGUGAGGGAUGAAGGUUCUAUGGAUCGUAAACCUCUUUUAUAAGGGAAUAAAGUGCGGGACGUGUCCCGUUUUGUAUGUACCUUAUGAAUAAGGAUCGGCUAACUCCGUGCCAGCAGCCGCGGUAAUACGGAGGAUCCGAGCGUUAUCCGGAUUUAUUGGGUUUAAAGGGUGCGUAGGCGGCCUUUUAAGUCAGCGGUGAAAGUCUGUGGCUCAACCAUAGAAUUGCCGUUGAAACUGGGGGGCUUGAGUAUGUUUGAGGCAGGCGGAAUGCGUGGUGUAGCGGUGAAAUGCUUAGAUAUCACGCAGAACCCCGAUUGCGAAGGCAGCCUGCCAAGCCAUUACUGACGCUGAUGCACGAAAGCGUGGGGAUCAAACAGGAUUAGAUACCCUGGUAGUCCACGCAGUAAACGAUGAUCACUAGCUGUUUGCGAUACAUUGUAAGCGGCACAGCGAAAGCGUUAAGUGAUCCACCUGGGGAGUACGCCGGCAACGGUGAAACUCAAAGGAAUUGACGGGGGCCCGCACAAGCGGAGGAACAUGUGGUUUAAUUCGAUGAUACGCGAGGAACCUUACCCGGGUUUGAACGCAUUCGGACCGAGGUGGAAACACCCUUUCUAGCAAUAGCCGUUUGCGAGGUGCUGCAUGGUUGUCGUCAGCUCGUGCCGUGAGGUGUCGGCUUAAGUGCCAUAACGAGCGCAACCCUUGCCACUAGUUACUAACAGGUGAUGCUGAGGACUCUGGUGGGACUGCCAGCGUAAGCUGCGAGGAAGGCGGGGAUGACGUCAAAUCAGCACGGCCCUUACAUCCGGGGCGACACACGUGUUACAAUGGCGUGGACAAAGGGAGGCCACCUGGCGACAGGGAGCGAAUCCCCAAACCACGUCUCAGUUCGGAUCGGAGUCUGCAACCCGACUCCGUGAAGCUGGAUUCGCUAGUAAUCGCGCAUCAGCCAUGGCGCGGUGAAUACGUUCCCGGGCCUUGUACACACCGCCCGUCAAGCCAUGGGAGCCGGGGGUACCUGAAGUCCGUAACCGCGAGGAUCGGCCUAGGGUAAAACUGGUGACUGGGGCU